GACGAACGCUGGCGGCGUGCCUAAUACAUGCAAGUAGAACGCACAGUUUAUACCGUAGCUUGCUACACCAUAGACUGUGAGUUGCGAACGGGUGAGUAACGCGUAGGUAACCUGCCUGGUAGCGGGGGAUAACUAUUGGAAACGAUAGCUAAUACCGCAUAAUAUUAAUUAUUGCAUGAUAACUGAUUGAAAGAUGCAACUGCAUCACUACCAGAUGGACCUGCGUUGUAUUAGCUAGUAGGUGAGGUAACGGCUCACCUAGGCGACGAUACAUAGCCGACCUGAGAGGGUGAUCGGCCACACUGGGACUGAGACACGGCCCAGACUCCUACGGGAGGCAGCAGUAGGGAAUCUUCGGCAAUGGACGAAAGUCUGACCGAGCAACGCCGCGUGAGUGAAGAAGGUUUUCGGAUCGUAAAGCUCUGUUGUAAGAGAAGAACGGGUGUGAGAGUGGAAAGUUCACACUGUGACGGUAUCUUACCAGAAAGGGACGGCUAACUACGUG
rnacentral:rRNA from 1 species